UCCCUCAAAACCCAAGUGGUCUCUCAUAUUGUGAAACCGCCUCACGCUCACAUACGCCGCUAGUCGUCGCAGCUCGCAGCUCGCCGCCGCCGCAGCUCGGGUACAAUUUAAUUGAAGGUUCCAAUCUUUGACGCCGUCGAGCAAACUACUGCCAACCCUUCCAUCUCCAUCCCUAAUUAAAAAAAGUUGAGAUACAUGUAUUCAGGAUCGACAGUAGACGCUUCGUUGAGAUCCUCUCCAUCAGCUUUUGAAUCGUGUUGUCAUCAAGAUCACUUUCUUCUCCUUUCAUCCAAAACCUCGUUAUGGAUCAAGUUAUGGCUGCUAUUAUCAGAAAUCGGUCAUUUGAGGCUUCAAUUCUCCAACCCAUUUGGACUGUAGAAACAGUUUCUCAAGUCUUAAGAUCAAUCCCCAGAUUCCUCUUCCAAUCCCCAAGAUCCAUUGGCCGACAAAAUGGGUUUCGCCACCGUACCCCAUUAAAGCAGAGAAACCUAAAACAAGAGUUCCAUAACGCUCGGAAGG